CCUGGGGGGUUGGUGAUAGUGACAACGUGGAAAGAAAUUAAGACCCAUGAAGACUUAAGUCUCUUUCACAUAUCAAGGGCUGAGGGACAGUCCAGCAAAUGGCGGUAAUGCAACGUGCCUCUUCAACUAAUAUUACUACUUUAAUUUACAACACAACUGUACUAAGAGUAGUAAGAGAAGAGUAGGAGUAGAAAAUUGACCCAUGAGAUUUCGAAGAACAUCAAUCCUUGUUCCCACGUGACACCAUGCAGCAAAUAUUUCUGAACAUUACAGGGAAAGACUGCAUGUGUGAAAGAUACAGGUUGGAUCCCCAAUGGCUGAGUCUAGCUGUAGGCACCCUUAAGGAAAGUGCCAAGGGCUCUUUGCGUCCAAAUGGUUUAUUUUUGCGACCAAAAUUUGAGAGUGUGCGACUGUAUUUGACAUCUGGUCGCGCAUGUGCGACCAGUAAAUUUGCCCUCUUUUUUUUUUUUUCACACGUUAAACAAGGAAGGGCCGUGCCAACGAAUCCGGAAUCUGUAGCAGGGCAAUGAGUGUGAUAAGGAUAGGGAAUGGCCACUGUCAGUGGCUAAUGUGUGGAGGGGGAGGGUCCUAGAUACUAUUGAGCGUGUGUAAAUGUCUCUGAGAAGGAGAGGAUUUCACAACCUGCUACGCGCGACCGUUUGAACCAUGAGCAAGCAAACAAUUUUUUUUCCGUUUUGGAAAUCUGCCCCUUAUGACAUCACAGGUGGGCGUGUCCACCUAGAGCAAACUGCUCAUCUAACCGUUACACAUCUAGGUGGACACGCCUACCUGUGAUGUCAUAAGGGGCAGAUUUCCAAAAUGGCUUGUAACGGCUAAUCACACCGCACCUGGUGGCAUGCCAUGGGACCUUUAAAAACCCAUCCGACCCGUGUUCCGACAGUAGCGAAAAUGACAUUCCGCACCCGACCCGCUAUAAAUUGAUAUCGACACCCGACCCGCACCCGAUGGAAAAUUAGAGACGUUAGAUGGAACGCUAGGGAAUUACACUAUCUGGUGUUUGGUGUGGUACUUUAGAUUGCUGUGCAAAAAAGGCACAUCAUCCACUGUUGACGGUUUUAGUUGACUCCUCCGCUCCUGAAUAACAUAUCCAGGACUGGAGAAGUCAAAAAAAACAAUAAAUCGCAAAACCCGCGACCAACCCGCACUGUUCAGGCGUCCGCACCCGACAUAGUACAUUAUUUUUCACCCGUUUCAUCCCGCGGGUACCCGAACCCAUGCAGGAUGCUGCUUCAGGUGCCAUAAAGGGCUUUUCCCAAGGGAGGCGUUUGUCACGCUUGCUAAUGCAUUCUUAAUGGAGAGGCGAGCGGGCAGAGGAGUCGCAGCAUACUGUCAAGUCACAUGCCACGACAAACGGGAGCACUCCCGUGAAACUGUCACUUCCAUGCUCGUCGAACGCAUGCUCGCACACGUGGAAACCGUUGGGAGAGAUGAGAAACACAAUAAAAUGCGACACUGAAUUUGAAAAAGCACAUUUAAAUUUGACCCUUACAUUUUCGGUUAGGGGCCAAAUUGCUCCGAGUCAAUAAAGUUAGUCUGGACUGGAGCCCUCGUGCCACAAAAUGUUAUCCCCAUGGCUACGACCUAACAAUGAUACUUUUCAGUACCGACAUUGUGUAGGAAGGUCCUUGACCAGGCCCGCCGCUCCCUAUACGCAGAGCACCAAGUACCUGAGGGGGCACCAAAAAUUAAGGGCACCGAAACGGCCAGCAGCGGCCUGUCUAUCCACAUCAACCGCUGGCCAGAUUGCGCUCCAUACAUCCCCACUGUGAAGGACUCGCUCAAACACUCCUCAUAAAGUCACAGCAUGUUGUCUUGUUCUGUUCACCUGUAUGGAUCUCCUCAUGUGGUUCUUGUAUAGCGUGUGUUCUGUUCACCUGUAUGGAUCCUCAUGUGGUUCUUGUAUAAAGUGUUUUCUGUUCACAUGUAUGGAUCCUCAUGUGGUUCUUGUAUAAAGUGUGUUCUGUUCACCUG